CCCUUAGAUGUUCUGGGCCGCACGCGUGCUACACUGAGUGGAUCAGCGGGUCAGGUUGCGCGAAAGCGUUUCCUAAUCUUUAAAUCCGCUCGUGAUGGGGAUUGACGGUUGCAAUUUUCUGUCAUGAACGAGGAAUACCUUGUAAGCGCGGGUCAUCAUCCCGCGCUGAAUACGUCCCUGCCCUUUGUACACACCGCCCGUCGCUCCUACCGAUUGAAUGCUCAGGUGAGCCAUUCGGACUUUCAUCAUGCCGGUUUCCGGUUUUGAUGAGGGAAAGUCUUGCGAACCUUAUCAUUUAGAGGAAGGAGAAGUCGUAACA
rnacentral:rRNA from 1 species